GAUGAACGCUGGCGGCGUGCCUAAUACAUGCAAGUCGAGCGAACAGAUAAGGAGCUUGCUCCUUUGACGUUAGCGGCGGACGGGUGAGUUACACGUGGAUAACCUACCUAUAAGACUGGGAUAACUUCGGGAAACCGGAGCUAAUACCGGAUAACAUAUUGAACCGCAUGGUUCAAUAGUGAAAGGCGGCUUUGCUGUCACUUAUAGAUGGAUCCGCGCCGUAUUAGCUAGUUGGUAAGGUAACGGCUUACCAAGGCAACGAUACGUAGCCGACCUGAGAGGGUGAUCGGCCACACUGGAACUGAGACACGGUCCAGACUCCUACGGGAGGCAGCAGUAGGGAAUCUUCCGCAAUGGGCGAAAGCCUGACGGAGCAACGCCGCGUGAGUGAUGAAGGUCUUCGGAUCGUAAAACUCUGUUAUCAGGGAAGAACAAAUGUGUAAGUAACUGUGCACAUCUUGACGGUACCUGAGCAGAAAGCCACGGCUAACUACGU
rnacentral:rRNA from 1 species